AGAGAUUUUGUAUGAUAAAAAGCUUCUAACUUUUUUAAGGUGGUUGAACUCCAUCAAUCUCUU
rnacentral:tRNA from 1 species